rnacentral:tRNA from 1 species
GGCCUGCUAGCUCAGUCGGUUAGAGCGUCGUGCUAAUAACGCGAAGGUCGUAGGUUCGAUCCCUGCGCAGGCCC